AAAGCCUGUCUUUCCCGCUGGACGACCGGGCGGCACGGGGUGGAGUAAACGGGUAUUGCAACCCUACCUUUAAACAGGGAGGAUAGCCCCCGAGAAAAUCGGGAAUUAAUAUUCCGGUAACAUUAUGAUACCGCAUGGUAUUAUAAUUAAAGUUUUGACGGGUUAAAGAUGGGGCAUGCGUGACAUUAGUUUGUGGGUGAGGUAACGGCUCACCAAGACUACGAUGUCUAGGGGUUCUGAGAGGAUUGUCCCCCACACUGGUACUGAGACACGGACCAGACUCCUACGGGAGGCAGCAGUGAGGAAUAUUGGUCAAUGGUCGAAAGACUGAACCAGCCAUGCCGCGUGCAGGAUGACGGCGCUAUGCGUUGUAAACUGCUUUUCUACAGGAAGAAACCUACUUACGUGUAAGUAGCUGCCGGUACUGUAGGAAUAAGCACCGGCUAACUCCGUGCCAGCAGCCGCGGUAAUACGGAGGGUGCGAGCGUUAUCCGGAUUUAUUGGGUUUAAAGGGUACGUAGGCGGAACAUUAAGUCAGUGGUGAAAUCCCAGAGCUCAACUCUGGAACUGCCAUUGAUACUGAUAUUCUUGAAUAUAGUUGAGGUAGGCGGAAUGUGUAAUGUAGCGGUGAAAUGCUUAGAUAUUACACAGAACACCGAUUGCGAAGGCAGCUUACUAAACUAUGAUUGACGCUAAUGUACGAAAGCGUGGGGAGCGAACAGGAUUAGAUACCCUGGUAGUCCACGCCGUAAACGAUGAUCACUCGUUGUUUGUGAUAUACAAUAAGCAACUGAGCGAAAGCAUUAAGUGAUCCACCUGGGGAGUACGUCGGCAACGAUGAAACUCAAAGGAAUUGACGGGGGCCCGCACAAGCGGAGGAACAUGUGGUUUAAUUCGAUGAUACGCGAGGAACCUUACCUGGGUUUAAAUGUAGAUUGCAUGGGGGGGAAACUCUCCUUCCUCGAGCCAUCAAUCGGGNNAAAA
rnacentral:rRNA from 1 species